rnacentral:rRNA from 1 species
GCAGUCGAGCGGCAGCGCGUCCUUCGGGAUGGCGGCGAGCGGCGAACGGGUGAGUAAUACAUCGGAACGUACCUUAUAGUGGGGGAUAACUCAUCGAAAGAUGAGCUAAUACCGCAUAAUCUCUGAGGAGGAAAGGCGGGGAUCGCAAGACCUGUCGCUGUAAGAGCGGCCGAUGGCUGAUUAGCUAGUUGGAGGGGUAAAAGCCCACCAAGGCGAUGAUCAGUAGCUGUUCUGAGAGGAAGAUCAGCCACACUGGGACUGAGACACGGCCCAGACUCCUACGGGAGGCAGCAGUGGGGAAUUUUGGACAAUGGGGGCAACCCUGAUCCAGCAACGCCGCGUGAAUGAAGAAGGCCUUAGGGUUGUAAAGUUCUUUUGUCUGGGAGCAAAAGUUAGGUGCUAAUAUCACCUAAAUAUGAGAGUACCAGAAGAAUAAGCACCGGCUAACUACGUGCCAGCAGCCGCGGUAAUACGUAGGGUGCGAGCGUUAAUCGGAAUUACUGGGCGUAAAGGGUGCGCAGGCGGAUAAUUAAGUUAGUAGUGAAAUCCCCGGGCUCAACCUGGGAAUUGCUAUUAAGACUGGUUGUCUAGAGUGUGUCAGAGGGGGGUAGAAUUCCAAGUGUAGCAGUGAAAUGCGUAGAGAUUUGGAGGAAUACCGAUGGCGAAGGCAGCCCCCUGGGAUAACACUGACGCUCAGGCACGAAAGCGUGGGUAGCAAACAGGAUUAGAUACCCUGGUAGUCCACGCCCUANACGAUGUUUACUUGCUGUUGGGGGUAACCUUAGUAGCGAAGCUAACGCGAGAAGUAAACCGCCUGGGGAGUACGGUCGCAAGAUUAAAACUCAAAGGAAUUGACGGGGACCCGCACAAGCGGUGGAUGAUGUGGAUUAAUUCGAUGCAACGCGAAAAACCUUACCUGCUCUUGACAUG